rnacentral:rRNA from 1 species
GACAGAGGUGCCAAGCGUUAGGCGGAAUCACUGGGCUUAAAGCGUGUGUAGGCGGGUGCCUAAGUACCUUGUGAAAUCCCCCCGGCUCAACCGGGGAACGGCUGGGUAUACUGGGUGCCUUGGGUCAUCUAGGGGCUGCCGGAACAAAUGGUGGAGCGGUGAAAUGCGUAGAUAUCAUUGGAACGCCAACGGCGAAAGCAGGCAGCUGGGGAUGCACCGACGCUGAGACACGAAAGCCAGGGGAGCGAACGGG